rnacentral:rRNA from 1 species
GGAUGAACGCUAGCGGCAGGCUUAAUACAUGCAAGUCGAGGGGCAGCAGGACUGUAGCAAUACAGUUGCUGGCGACCGGCAAACGGGUGCGGAACACGUACGCAACCUACCCAAAACUGGGGGAUAGCCCGGGGAAACCCGGAUUAAUACCUCGUAACCUUUUUAAGUGGCAUCACUUGAUAAGUAUAGCUCCGGCGGUUUUGGAUGGGCGUGCGCCUGAUUAGGUAGUUGGUGCGGGUAACGGCCCACCAAGCCUGCGAUCAGUAACUGGUGUGAGAGCACGACCAGUCACACGGGCACUGAGACACGGGCCCGACUCCUACGGGAGGCAGCAGUAAGGAAUAUUGGUCAAUGGACGCAAGUCUGAACCAGCCAUGCCGCGUGAAGGAUGAAGGUCCUCUGGAUUGUAAACUUCUUUUAUGGGGGACGAAACCCGGAUAUUCUUAUCCGAUUGACGGUACCUCAGGAAUAAGCACCGGCUAACUCCGU